AUCCUUAUGGGUCAGUUGUAUUGUACAAAGUAUUUUGCUUAAUGUUAUCAUGUUUACUCGGCAUUACCUGUAUUAAAGCACGUACUACUGGAAAUACAAAGAGGUCCAGAUUUUAUGUUUUGCAUCAGUGUAUGUUACAUUUAGGCCACAGCUAGCUCUACUUAGAUAAUUCUGCUUUAUUUCAUUUCACCGUAACACUUCCUAUUACUUGAUUAAAAUUGCAAAUGUACAUGUCGAUAAGCUGCCUUUUAGUACAAGAUUGACAUCAUUAAUGUUUGUAGCUAUCAGUCUGAAGAUGCAUGUAUUCUUUCCACUUAGUAUUUUAUAGUAAUGUUACAUUUGUUGUAUUGUUUUCUGUUGUAAAAACAUGUUGGACAAUCUGUGUUAAAAGCCUAUUUUUUGUGGGUUGUUAGAGAAUGUUAAUCAUUAUCUUUAUCCGUUUAUAUUAAAAUGCUCAUAAAUCAUUAAAUAUUGUAUUAGAUAAAUUCUCAUUUUGAAAAAAAUGUUUAUAAGGGAAUAAAAUCCUAUCAUAGGCCUGAAUUUCUAAUGAAAUUUUAUUUGAAAACUGACAGACUUUGGGAUACGCAUUUGGUGUUCUUAAUUUUGAUUUUAAAAUCGUUCCCUUUCCUUUUUGGAAGAAGGCACAUAAGGGUUUUACAACCUAUGUGGAACGUAAAAUGAUUAAAUUUUUGUAUAUUCUUUUAUUAAGAUGAAAAUAUGUUGAUGCAGAAGUAAUCUGCUUUGAAUAAAUGUUAUUAGCUGUUGGAGUCAAUUUGGUUACAGUUCAGGCAAAGAAAGGGGUUGUUGAGCCUUAAAAUUGUGUGUCUGCUUAUCUGUAUUGGGACCCAAUACACUAUUUACUCACUGUCAUUUCCUCAACACUCUAUGUUUACAAUUUUGUGUGUGAUUUGUGGGUAAAUUUGUAUUUAUAGAAGCAGAUAUUUGUUUUAUUUUGUUUUCAAUCAUUGUCCUUUGCCAUGCACAUGUUUUUCCUCCAAGUUUAUUUUUAUCAUGACGCUAUUAAUAUCUCUUAUAUUGUUCUUGUCAUAAAUCUGGGAUAAUGUCAAUUAGCAUUUCCUUGAAGAGACUAUAACCAAAUUAUAAUUUUCCCAUAAGAUCAGGUAAUAUUUUCCCAAUUUUUUAACUGAUAGUGUCAAAAACACUUUUUGAGAAUUAAAAUCUGACCAUUUUCGAAAUGUUUAUUUUGUGCCAUUAUUUGUCCUAAAAUGAUAGAUAUCAUUUAAGUGUUGAUUUUUAAAGUUCUAUGUCAUUGAAAAUUCUCAGUUAGAUCCUUCAUAGCCUCUGUUAAAUACAGUGUAUAAUGCAGUUACGUUAUAACAAUUUUUAUGUACAUUUGUAGUUGUUUUAUGUAAUAAAUCAUUGUUUUCAAAAAAUUU
rnacentral:misc_RNA from 1 species